UGUCGUAUACGAUUUUUUAUUCGCAUUGUCCUAGUGUCCGUCCGUCUAUACACCUACAUGUGUUGCAUCAAUUUCGCGCAUUAGUACAUUAAUAAUUAAGUACCUACAUUUGUGUACGAUUUUAUAAUAUUGUUAUAUAUGUGUGUAUAUAUAUAUAUAUUCGUCGAUGGACCAGAUAGGAGAUACAUACAUGUUGUAUCACCGAGUAAAAAUCGUUAAACACACACCAGUUAACGGAAAUUUGACGACCAUGACCGGAAAUACGAAACACUUAUACUAGCUAUAUGUAGAAAAUACGUCAUAAUAUAUUAAAUACAUUGUACCUACACGAUGUUAUAUUUUAUUCGAAUUCAAUGUUACGAUAACGUGAAAUAUCAAACAAGCAUCAACAUAAUAUUAUCAAUUAACUCAUAAAUGCUUAAUACCUAUAUAUAGUGGCAAUAAAUCUUUAAACUACAUAUAUUGCAUCGAUGGCGGACAUAGUUGGGUUUAGACGUUUUUUUGCCGUGCAGCACCCGUCAUAAUAUUAUAUUUUCCGGUAGUUGAUGUUACGAUAUAGCAAUAAAUCAACCAGUGAAAAUAAAAUGACUGAGUCAUGCGUCAUCGGCGAAGGCCGUAAAUAAUACUCGGGGAAGUUUUUACCCAUUGCAAUGCCGUCUUUUUUGGUACUUCAAAGAAGAUGUUCAGAUAAGUACCGAAUCUAAAUUUCAGAAAGCCGGGGUGCAACCACUAUACUCGUAGUACUGGAUGCAUCUUUAAGAAAAAAUACUAUGUACCUUAUGGUUUAUAUUAUGUUUUUUUAAUCGAGUCAUAAGUAGGGUUAAAACUCGUUCCAUGACAAUUUAAAAUAAA